UGGCUUACCUGGCAGGGGAGACACCAUGAUCAGGCAGGUGGUUUUCCCAGGGCAAGGCUCAUCCUCUGCACUCUGAGUGUGCUGACCCCUGCAAUUUCCCCAAAUGUGGGAAACUCAACUUUUUGUUGUUGUUGUUUUUUUUAAAAAAUAAAAAAA
rfam:Egretta garzetta contig27669, whole genome shotgun sequence.